UUUAUGGCCAGAUUUUGGGGGGCCUGUUCCCAACAGUGACAGAGUGGGAGAAUGUGAUUAGUGAGUAGUUCUUUCCACCAACUUGAAGAGUCCCAUCAAUGUCCUGCUCUGAGGGAUGGAGGAAGGUGGGAAGAGUCUGUGAAAAAAGAACAGCAGGAAUUCAGGGUGAAGAAGAUGUGGACUGUGUCUCCAAUAUCUGGUUUGCACAAAAGAGAGCUGGCACCAUCUAAUUUUUGUGUGGAAAUCCGAAGAUGUCCUAAGGGCAUAUGAUGCAAUUGAAGUCCAGAGAGGCUAAAUGAUGUGGCUAUGAUGUCACAGCUAGGAACUGGCCGAACCAAGGUGAGAGAACUGAGGCUCAAGAGAUUUAAGGAGCUUGCCUGAAGUCACCGAGCUACUUGUGCCAUUUACUGUGAGGUGGGGGAGGAGUUCUUUUCUCUUAGACAUGAUGUCAAAACAUAGAGAAGCCAAUUAAUUUGCCUGAUACAACAACACAGUAUUUUAAUUCCAACCUUAUAUUCUUAUUCAUUGAAGAUAAUGUGUUUAUUUCUGUGAAACUAAAAAACAGAAUGUCGUAGCAUAUUAUCUUCGUGCCCAUUCACAUGAUAUUAAAUACAAGUUAGCCAAAUAAUCCUAUUAUUUUGAGUCCCUAAACAUCUACAGGGCCUACUUAGUGGUGGAGAAAGAAAUACAAAUGGCAAGUGGAACUAUCUUAUUGAAUAGUAAUAAACACCUUACAUGGAGUUCCACUGAGUACACAUAGAAAAGGCCUAUGUUUUAGGGUAAGAAAGCGUAGGCUGAUUAUUAUACUGUUGAAUUGGAAGGAAAGGAAGGAGUGAGGGCUGGGAGAAAGGAGUGCAAAACAGUGGAAAGUGUUUCUAGAUUCUGUUGAAGAGCACUGGCCUCCCUGUAUGUGAUAAUGCUUUUUACCUUUACUCCCUUCAGGCUUGAGGAAAAAAGUGAUGACUCGAAAAUUUGAUGUUAUUGUAAAGAAAAAGCAUUUGUAGUAGAAUUUAGGUACAACACUCAGCAAUAGCAGUCUAUCAGUUACAGAACCAGAGAUAUUCAAACCAAGUCUAACUGGAACUUCAAUAUACCACAAUAUAUUUAUUUAUUGCUAUGAAGCAAGUUAUCUGCACAUUCUUGAGAAUCAUAUACUUUCUUUGCACAAUAAACUGUCACUAUAUUACUAUUAAAAAUAGUAUGCAAACAUUCACAAACAAUUCUCUGUAGUUGAUUGCACUGUACUAAUGACAACCAUCCUUAAAUAUUUUGGAAAUCACCUGCAUUUCUCUUACAGUUGAAGCCAUGUUUCAUAAAAGAAAAGAUAAAACAAACAAAUCAUACUUAAGAAGUUGCCAGAACACAUUAUUUACAGUAAGCAUGUAUGCUUAACAAACCAAAUAUUUAAUAUUUCAUGCAUGAAAAAUGGGCAGACAUCACAGUCAUUAGUAUUCCAGGUGAGGCAGAACAUGCAAAUUUACUCAGCCAUUAAAGAAUGAGUCAUAUGCUAUUUAAUAUAACAAAAUAGUUUAUGUAUAUUAGAGUAAACAGUGAAAGCACAAUAGAAAAAAAUGGAUUUGAUUCAGAUGUUGAGCUGCUAUGUAAACCAAUUAUCUAUCCGGAGGGAAACAGCUCUGUCUACAACUACUUAGGCUCUAGGGCCUAUUACAAACCCUGGAGUGGGCUGUUGUUUCUGUUCUCCAGGGAAUUUACCACGUCACACUAGAAAUAGCUGACAAUAAUUAGAAAGCCUGCUUCUGCCAGUAUUGCACACAUUUUUAAUACCUUCCUAAGUAUUAUGGGAGAUAAUACACAAGGUCUUUAGAAUUCUAGUCAUGCCACCCAAGCCAUGGAAAGGACAACUAGACAAUAGCCCCAAACUGGACUGUGACAGGCUAAUUAUUGUGGCUUCAUUAUAAAACCUCUUUUUACAUAGGUCACCUGGGAAGUGUAAUUAAAAAUGCAUUAUUGGGGUAUUUUUUAUUGAAGCAAUUAAAUUAAAAAGCC